rnacentral:rRNA from 1 species
AUUGAACGCUGGCGGCAGGCCUAACACAUGCAAGUCGAGCGAGCGGCGGACGGGUGAGUAAUGUAUGGGGACUGCCCGAUAGAGGGGGAUAACUACUGGAAACGGUGGCUAAUACCGCAUACUAUCGGAUAACCCAUAUGGGAUUAGCUAGUGGGUGGGGUAAAGGAUCACCUAUGCGACGAUCUCCAGCUGGUCUGAGAGGACGAUCGUCAACACUGGGACUGCGACAAGGCCCAGACUCCGACGGAGGAAGCAGUGGGGAAUAUUGGACAAUGGGCGAAAGCCUGAGGCAGCAAUGCCGCGUGAAUGAGGAAGGCCUUAGGGUUGUAAAGGACUUUCAGCGGGGAGGCGUUACCCGCAGAGGAAGCACCGGCUAACUCCGUGCCAGCAGCCGCGGUAAUUC